rnacentral:misc_RNA from 1 species
AAAUCACUCAAGCUUAGGUUUACCUAUUGCUUGGUCUUGGAGAUGGAAGCCGAUUUAUUGGAAUCCUCUUCGAAAUUCAAUGGCGAAGACCCUUGCUCUCCCAAGUGUAGUAAUAACUUAUGUCACUGAAGGAAGCGAGAAAUCUUCUGCCGUAACCCCCAUAUUUUCUAU